AAUACUAUACUUCACAGGAUCAUUUCUGUAGUCAGUCUUCAAUUACUUUCAUUGCAAAAUGGAAAAUCUAGU